rnacentral:rRNA from 1 species
GAUGAACGCUGGCGGCGUGCCUAAUACAUGCAAGUCGAGCGAACAGACGAGGAGCUUGCUCCUCUGACGUUAGCGGCGGACGGGUGAGUAACACGUGGAUAACCUACCUAUAAGACUGGGAUAACUUCGGGAAACCGGAGCUAAUACCGGAUAAUAUAUUUAACCGCAUGGUUCAAUAGUGAAAGACGGUUUUGCUGUAACUUAUAGAUGGAUCCCCGCCGCAUUAGCUAGUUGGUAAGGUAACGGCUUACCAAGGCAACGAUGCGUAGCCGACCUGAUAGGGUGAUCGGCCACACUGGAACUAGAACACGGUCCAGACUCCUACGGAAGGCAGCAGUAGGGAAUCUUCCGCAAUGAGCAAAAGCCUGACGGAGCAACGCCGCGUGGGUGAUGAAGUUCUUCGAAUCGUAAAACUCUGUUAUUAGGGAAGAACAAAUGUGUAAGUAAAUAUGCACGUCUUGACGGUACCUAAUCAGAAAGCCACGGCUAACUACGUG